AAUCUGUAGUGCGAGCAUUUCUGGACCAAUGUUUUAAAACAUUCCCAAGCCUCAUGAAAACUUUCCCCUUCCAUUUGUCUAAAAAUAUCAAUUUCUAUUCUUAGUUG
rnacentral:snoRNA from 1 species